GGCCCCAUCGUCUAUCGGUUAGGACAUUUCCCUUUCAAGGAAAAAAGAGGAGUUCGAUUCUCCUUGGGGCCG
rnacentral:tRNA from 1 species